rnacentral:lncRNA from 1 species
CUUUAAUUCCGGAUUCAAGAUUCAAUCUCAAGCAAUUCUCCAUUCCAAUCUUCAUCAAGAAUUCUCCAAAGUUGAGGUAUGUGGGUUGAUUGUGGAAACCUUCCUUUCCACAAGUCCAACCAUUUAUCCUCUAUUUUACUUCAAGUUUAUGGGUCCUUAUGAUCAUUUAUGAACUCUUGAAUUAUGGAAUUAUUACUACACAUCCUAUUAUGGUCUAUUUUUGUAUAUUAUCAUGAAAUGGAAUGAUUAUAUGAUGUUUAUGGUUUUCAUGCCUCAAUGAUCAAAUUAUGAAGGUUGUUAUAUAUGUAUAUAUAUAUGUAUGUUGUUGGUGGGCUGUUUUAUAUGGAUUUUGAAAUUGGUUGGACUUAGUACUCUUGAAGUACAUGAUUUCAUUUACAUGAACAAUAGCCCAUCAUGUGUUUGAUAAAAUGUCCAUUUAUAGAAUCCUUAGGAAAUGGAAGGUCCAAUGUACGUCUUAUGAAUCGAAUGGUUAUAUAAUUAUUGAAAUGAUGAUGAAAUGGACACAUGUAUAUGAUUUUCUCUAUAUACGUGUUGUGAGUCGACCAAGCCUAGUACGGGGGGUAGUAGGCCCGUAUAACCAUAUCGAGGGGUUUGUACCUUGGUCCCUAGCUCGGGGGGUGGUAGGCCCGGGUAACCACAUUGAGGGGUUUGUACCUCUUUCGCCUCUCCAAGGGGGUGGUAGGCCUUGGAAAUACUAUAUUGAUGGUCACUCACCACACUUGUGCUACGUCGCACUAAAUAUGAUUUUUAGGUAAGCGUCAUUAUAUAUAUAUCGUUUCAUUAAUGUGCUAUCUAACGGGUAUUAUUAUGCAUUUUCCUACGAUGUCCAUCUAUGGUAGCAUUGCAUUGCAUCCCAUAUACUUAGUACAUUCAAAUGUACUAACGCAUACUCUAUGCCUACAUGAUGUCACCAUGUAGGGACCGGAGCACCGCUUGACCAUCCUCCUCCGUGUGGCUAAUACGAUUUCCUAUCAAGGUUAUUGGUGAGUCCUCCAUUCCGGGGACGUUGCUCAUGAUCUUUUGCUAUGUAUAAGACUUUUUCUUUUUAGUUAUGUUUUGUCUAUGAGGGUGAGCCCGGUAGUUUGUCUUGGCCCCCG